GCCCUCUCAAUUUCUUAGACAAACAUACUCAUAAAAGAAUAAGAUUGCAUGAAAAACAUUUUUAUGACAAGGUUGUUUUAUUUUAUUGAUUUAUUUAUUUAAUUUAAUUUUGCCCAAUAGUAUUUGAUAUUUAUUUACAUGAAAAUACUGAUAUUAAGGAAAAAAAGGGCGACGAGUGUAUUUGAAACCAUUUCGCUUUUCCUUAUACCCCUAGAAAUAUAUUUACAAUUUACUUUCUAAUUAAUUAAUUAAUUAAGUAAACCAGUUCAAAGUAUUAGAGUAGUGAAUAUAUAUAUAUAUAUAUACAUAUACGAAUUGUUCAUAAUUUUUUUAAUGUUUUUUCUUGUAAUAUUAAUAAUAAUACAAGCAGCAAUAGUAAUGUUAAUGAAACAAGCAUUUUCUGUUGCCCCUAAAUUGCAUACGUCACGCUAAACUAUGGCAUCAAAUAACAAUUCAAGAAAAACUACCAGAAUAUCUAAAGUAUUUGUUGAAACAAAUUCAACAACUGUCUUAGAUGAUCCACACAAAAUUGCUAACAAAUUUAAUGAAUACUUUACAAAUGUUGGACCUAAUCUAGCCAAAAAAUAAAUACAAAGAAAACUUCACAAGUCUUAGAAAAGAACAAAUUACACGAAACAUUUCCUAGCAAACAAAGGAAUCGAAAUUUGGAACGGUCUUGCAAAAUACUUCAAACAAAUAAAAUCACAUUUCGUCUUCAAACGAGAGGUAAAGAAACACUUUCUUCAUAUUUAAUUAACCACCGGAAGUUUUUAAAUUUUAUCAAAUUGCCAACUAAAGGGCACAACAAAUCAUUACAUGCUUAUUUCUAUAAUUAAGUGAUUGCUGUGAAUAUCAAAUUGCAAUUGUAUUAUUAUAAUAUACUGUAUAU